UGGCGGCGCGCUUACACAUGCAAGUCGCACGAGAAAGUGGAGCAAUCCAUGAGUAAAGUGGCGUACGGGUGAGUAACACGUGGAUCAUCUACCUCUUAGUGGGGAAUAACCCUGGGAAACCGGGGCUAAUACCGCAUGAGCCUGAGAAGGGAAAGCAGCAAUGCGCUGAGAGAGGAGUCCGCGGCUGAUUAGCUAGUUGGUAGGGUAAAGGCCUACCAAGGCAAUGAUCGGUAGCCGGCCUGAGAGGGCACACGGCCACACUGGCACUGAAACACGGGCCAGACUCCUACGGGAGGCAGCAGUGGGGAAUCUUGCACAAUGGAGGAAACUCUGAUGCAACGACGCCGCGUGAGCGAUGAAGCCCUUCGGGGUGUAAAGCUCUUUCGACGGGAACGAUAAUGACGGUACCCGGAGAAGAAGCUGCGGCUAACUACGUGCCAGCAGCCGCGGUAAUACGUAGGCAGCAAGCGUUGUUCGGAAUUACUGGGCGUAAAGAGUGUGUAGGCGGUUCUCUAAGUUCGGUGUGAAAUCUCCCGGCUUAACUGGGAGGGUGCGCCGAAAACUGGAGGGCUUGAGUAUGGGAGAGGAAAGCGGAAUUCCUGGUGUAGCGGUGAAAUGCG
rnacentral:rRNA from 1 species